AUCUCGGAAUCAUAUCCAAGCAAGGUACAGUCGACCGCACAAACGCCGAAGCCAAAUCGGCUGAAAGUGUAACGGCUCCGUUCGGUAGGCUCUGGCAGAUUCGACAGAGACGCCAUCCGGCGGCGAGGGGAGCGUCGGCA